rnacentral:rRNA from 1 species
CCUACGGGGUGCAGCAGUGGGGAAUAUUGCACAAUGGGGGGAACCCUGAUGCAGCGACGCCGCGUGAGUGAAGAAGUAUUUCGGUAUGUAAAGCUCUGUCAGCAGGGAAGAAGAAAGACGGUACCUGACCAAGAAGCCCCGGCUAACUACGUACCAGCAGCCGCGGUAAUACGGAGGGGGCAAGCGUCAUCCGGAUGUACUGGGUGUAAAGGGAGCGUAGGCGGCAGGCAAAGUCUGAAGUGAAAUGCAGGGGCCCAACCCCUGGACUGCUCCGGAGACUGUCCGGCUGGAGUGCAGGAGAGGUAGGUGGAAUUCCUGGUGUAGCGGUGAAAUGCGUAGAUAUUAGGAGGAACACCAGUGGCGAAGGCGGCUUACUGGACUGUAACUGACGUUGAGGCUCGAAAGCGUGGGGAGCAAACAGGAUUAGAUACCCGAGUAGUC